CGCGGGGUGGAGCAGCUCGGUAGCUCGCUGGGCUCAUAACCCAGAGGUCGCAG
rnacentral:tRNA from 1 species